GACGAACGCUGGCGGCGUGCCUAACACAUGCAAGUCGAACGGAAAGGCCCUGCUCUUGUGGGGUGCUCGAGUGGCGAACGGGUGAGUAACACGUGAGUAACCUGCCCUUGACUUUGGGAUAACUUCAGGAAACUGGGGCUAAUACCGGAUAGGAGCUCCUGCUGCACGGUGGGGGUUGGAAAGUUUCGGUGGUUGGGGAUGGACUCGCGGCUUAUCAGCUUGUUGGUGGGGUAGUGGCUUACCAAGGCUUCGACGGAUAGCCGGCCUGAGAGGGUGACCGGGCACAUUAGGACUGAGGUACGGCCCAGACUCCUACGGGAGGCAGCAGUGGAGAGUAUUGCACAGUGGGCGGAAGCCUGAUGCAGCAGCGCCGCGUGCGGGAUGACGGCCUUCGAGUUGUGAACCGCUUUCGCCUGUGACGAAGCGUGAGUGACGGUAAUGGGUAAAGAAGCACCGGCUAACUACGUG
rnacentral:rRNA from 1 species